ACAAAGCGCCAUUUUUAUAUAUUUCGAUGAGUAGUAACCUCUUAAGUCCUGAGCACUUAACUCUUCGUAUACAAUUAACAGUAGACAUAAUAGCAAAUAUAGAAACCGUGAAUAUUGAAGUAAAAAUUGUGGCGUAGUUUUAAGCAAGCGCUUAUCGUCGAUAUUGAAACAACAGUUAACAUUAGAAAAAUUAACAGAAGUUCCUGUGCAACCAGGUGGGCUGUUGUCAUCAACGCCAGUGCCUCAAUCUAUUCCUUCUGUCAAUGCUGUAACGAGUUCAGCGACAUCAAUACCUGAAACGACCUUUUUGGUCUCGACAUUAGGCGUUUUAGUGCAAACACAGAUUAGUGUUGUCAAGUAAAGUCAGAACCCAUGACGCUUGCUGCAACCGACUAUGCCAUGUCUGCUACUCUUAGUUGCGCGAGUGGCAAUAAUAUUAAAAACAACAGAGACAGCAACUUUAUUAAUAAUAGUUCGGACAUUAACCAGGAAAAGCAAUCUGGCAGUAGCCUUCCGAUCAGUAAUGAUUUUGCCCAGUAUUCUAAGCAAAUAUUUAAAUCGUUCGUCACGCUUCAGCCCAGCUAUGCUGAGUCAAAGUUUGGAGAUUUGUCAGCUACUAAAGAUAAUGAACUAAAACCACACAAAGGUUCGGAAGAUUUCACGGGGUCUCGUAACUUACAAGAGACAAACAGUAUCAGCGCUUUCAUCGACAAUCAUCAUUUUGAAGGAAAAAUUAGUGGCUCAGAGGAUUUAUUUAAUAUUACACGCUGUGAUGGCGCUGCAUUCAGAGAAUAUGAACUCCUUUCAUCAGCGGUCAAGAAUGCACAUUUUGUACGCAACGACAAUGCUAACUCAACGACGAUUGUAGAGCCAAUGGACAAACCUCCUUCGCAAGCAAAUGAUGGUACACAAGCUACUAAUCAUACAAUGGUAAAUAUUAAAUUAAAAGCAAGCACAGAUGUUUCAAUAAAUAAUAGUGCUGGCAGUAAUAGUAGAGGAAUAAAAGUUGAAGGUGACACGACCAACAUACACGAGAUCUCAAACCUGUCAAUAUACGGUGAGCACUUUAGUGGCGACUUGGCAGUGCUAUACAAAACCAUACCACAAACUAAUUUGCGUUUGACGCAAGCGCUAACUAAUAAUAACAAUGAGAUUGUGCGGAAAAAUAGUAGUCCAGCAGUGCCAACAACUAUAACCAAGGAAGAUAACGACGCAAUGACCGGCAUUCCAAAGACUAUGGAAAAAAACAAUCAGCUGCUUGCCAACCUCUUACCUACGGAUAUAGUCAUACCAAAGUGUUAUCAGCGCACGUAUACAAAUGCGCCAAAUGCAGCCUCUCGAGGAUCUCCACGCUUCAAUGUCGUUGCUGAAAAUACGAAGCAGACAAUUAGCAACGAUUGUAAUCAUUUGCAGAAUAACAAUAGUGUGUUAGAGGUUUUGUCGAAUGAAAAACUCGGCUUACGGUCAACAUUGUUAACUGCAGAAGGUGCAAUCAAACAGCCAACAGCGUCUAAUGCUGCGUUCACUUUGCUCACGGAAAUAAUUUUGCGCCAGGACGACUAUGAAAGGCAGAAACAACUAAUACCGGAUAUUGCACCCGUCUUGCAGAAAGAGGACCAAACGCACAAGCUGAUACCAAAUUCCUCAUCAAUGACGUUUCCCUUGCAAUUGCCGCUACCGUUGUCGUUGUCGCUGCCGUUACCGCUACCACUACCACUUCCCCUCAUGCCUCUCAUCGAUAAUCUUACAAACAAAAACAGCGCUGUGUCAAAUUAUUCCUCAUACGAAGUACCGGAAUUUGGCUUUGGAAACUCAGGCGCAGAAUGUAAAACAUCAUUAUAUUCUAAACACGCGCCGCAGCUCGCCGGACAACGAGAACAACAGCAAGCCACAGGUUUAGAGCAGCAACAGCAACAACUAACUUCAAAUCAGCAAUUAGCUAAAAAGAUCCUUUACUCGCGUCUAUUACAUCCUAAUGCUCUAAAACAGUGUGAACAUUUAAACGAUCGAGAAGUACACUUAUUAGACCUUAUACCCAGCAGCUUGAAACAGAGCUCGGCAGAGUCCAAUGUGGCAAAUGUGAUGCAUACCAGAAAAAACAAUCGAGGCCAAUCCGCUUUCAGUAACAGUGAUAACAAAACAGAGCGGGUUUCAAAAACAGCCAAUUUUGCUAGUAAAGUCGACACCAAUAACAGUUUUAAUAACACAAAACUUAGCGGUUUCGAUCUGUUAUCUGCACAGGAGGCAGCGAUCACACAAGCCCAAUUAGAACUUGAAAAAUUUUUAACGUUUAGUCAUCAAUUAACGUAUAUCGCUCAUCGCGGGAAAAAUUCAUCUAACAAAUUAAUCUCGCAUAUAAGGACUCGUGUGCAGCAAAAUAUGCAGCAACGUCAACAGCUAAUUCAUAGUACUCAAGCACAACUAAGUCAGCUGAGGCGGCAAUGCGCCAGUGCGAAGAUCUAUUACGAGCGGGCGAUGCGUCGUCUGCAUACUUCUGACUCAUCGAAGUUGUGUACCCAGUCACAAACGCGUCCGCAAAACUCUGCUACGAAUAAGGUGGCUCGUGCAGCUGUAGUCGCCGCUAUAGCAGCCGCUGCCGAUGUGGAGGCGAUGCCAGUAACUACUUAUGUUAAAUCAGAGGACGCUGAUGAUGAUAAAAGAAAAAAAGUUUAUGUGUGUGAGAGCUCACCUGAAAUCUCACAUCCUCCUCAGACGUUGCUACAAAUCGAGCUUGGUAUCGAGCAUUACGUAAACGAAGUCUGCAAAACUGAUUUAGGCGUCGUAAAUGAUGAAGGCGAAAAUAAAUAUGACUCUGACCAGAACGAGGAUGGAAACAAAGGUAACAAUGUUAGCUGUAACGAACGCCAAAAAUCGUUUAUAUAUGGCUUGCACGAUGCCGCGACAGUCGAGGGCAGAGGGAAAGUAACACCUACAUUUUCCACCGGCGUUAAUGUGAAUAAAACAAGUUCUGCAGCAGUGUCACCUAUUUGCUUUUGGCAUCCAGAAAACGAUGGUCUAAGCUUUAAUGAGCACACGCCGACCGCAGUUGAGAUUAUACUGGAAUGCGCGGCAUCGACUGUGCAAGCAAAUAUGUGCGACCCUGCUUUUGCAAUUAAUACAUUGAGUAAGGAUGAAGGGCCUUCCUCGCGUUACCAUAAUCAAUCAAACAGUCAAUUUGGUGUAAAUUCUAAAUACAUGUCGCUAAGUAGUGAAUUCCUACAAAGUGCAUUUGUUCCUGGGACCGUGCGACCUGAUCGAGCCACGCCUGCUUCCGCCGAUUCUGUCAGCAAAGAUGAAUGUUCUAAUCUUGCAAAUAGUGAGAAAAAUGAGAGGAACGGCACUAAAUCAUUACGCACAUCGUCAAAACUAAUCAGCACGACAAUGAACUCAAAUACCACUAAUUCAACACCGAAUUUGACUCCAACUUCUACACCAACCACCACGCCGACGCCGCCCCUGAACACACCGGAAAAAAGUCGCCGAAAAUCCCGCUACGCGCGUCGCAUUGAAAUAACGCCCGCGGCAACUCUAACACAAAAAAACACAAAUCAAAACUUCCUAUUUUACAAUCAGUCAAAUAUACACAUGCUUCGUCAAUGCGACACCAUCGGUAAUGUUACUACUGGCGAUGUUGGAGAUAAUAGCGCUUCAAGCAAAACCGAAACAAGCAAACAGCUGGAGAGCUUAAAUGCGAAUCAUUCCAUGGCGGAAACAUUGUCGCCGGUCCGUAAUGAUGGUCACAAAAACAUCAACAAGCAACAACAGAAACAGUAUGGCAUAGAGCAGCAACAACAACAAGCACAAAUCAGUGAUUGCAACGGCAACAACAAUGGAAGCAGAGGUACCACGAAUAGUGACGGCAUAUUUAGUCUCAAAGGCUCUUGCAGCAACGCAACCACCACCAGCGCAACGGCGGCAGCAGCAGUAGUGGCUUUUCAAGAGCAGGCUUUUAAUAAUAUUUUCAAAGCACGUUUCAAUGCCCUCACAGCAGCUGCGGUUUUGAACGCUACAGCCGCUGACACUGCAGAUGGCCCGUACGAUUUAAGUGUCAGCAGAAGGAGCAAGCAAACAAAUUUGGAUAGCAAAAUCUCAGCAGCCAAUCAACAGGGAAGCGAGUGCAAAGACAAUUCAAAUGAAAAAAAGAAACCGCAUAUCAAAAAGCCAUUGAAUGCGUUCAUGCUAUAUAUGAAGGAGAUGCGCGCCAAAGUUGUCGCUGAAUGCACAUUAAAAGAGUCAGCGGCGAUAAAUCAAAUACUUGGCCGAAGGUGGCAUGAACUUAGCCGUGAAGAGCAAAGUAAAUAUUACGAAAAAGCGCGACAAGAGCGCCAGUUACACAUGGAAUUAUAUCCGGGGUGGAGCGCACGAGACAACUACGGUUAUGUUUCUAAAAAGAAAAAACGUAAAAAAGACCGUUCACCCGCGGAUUCGGGAGGAAAUAACAUGAAAAAGUGCCGCGCUCGUUUUGGCUUAGAUCAGCAGAAUCAAUGGUGUAAGCCUUGCAGCCCAAAUUUGAGUGCUCUAACGAAUCCAGGUGUCGGUAUAGGCGGUGUAAACGUCGGCAGCAUCGGUCUUACUUCCGCUAUGUUGACGCCCGUAGUCACAGGAGUUGCAAGCACAGUCAUGCUGCCGAAUUCAUCGUCCUCCUCGUCAUCAUCAUCAUCUACGUCCUCAUCGAAUCACCAUCAAAUGCUAAACACCACUGCGACUUCUUGCGGUAAUAGUAAUGCAAGCACCAGUCUGCUGGUGCUACCUGGCGGUAAUGGCGACAAUGCAGGUGGAAUUAGUGCCAAUGACGGACUCGCCGCUGCAUCAGCUCAAAGUUCAAUUAAUGCGGCAGCAGCACAGCUGCUCAAUCAAGCUGCUGUCGCCGCAGCAGCAGUAGCUACUGGCCAUUGCAGCAUUAAUUCAGCAUCUCAACAAACAAAUAACAACAACAUUCUGCAACCAUCUGCCGCACUUAUCAACGUUUUGACGGGUACAACAGCGACUCCAGCUAAUGGUAGUGGCGGUCUACAGCAACCGUCACCGCAGGCACCGCCAACCUAUGUGAAUUUAUAAGUACAACUAAUAUAGAUGCUUCUGAAUGAGAUAGUAAUUGGCAAGACAGAAGAACACACUUAAGACUUAAGCAUAUAAAAACAUGUACACAGAAAAUAGUGACAGGAACCAUUACCAAAAAAAAAAGUAGAACAAAAAAAAUUGUUAUGAUGAAACGAUGCGAUUAUAGUAACGGCGAUGAAUCAAAAAUUCAAUGCUUUGCAUCAGGAAAAACUGAAUAAUUAAAUAGUUAAAUAUCACAGAGCGGCAAACACAUACAAGAGUACAAUAUUUGAUUAUAAUCAUAUAUACAUAUAUUUAUAUGUAAAUAUGUAUAUCAGGAUUAAGAAAAGCAGAUUAUACUGCAAAGUAAAGCAGAAAAAAAACAAUGAAACAAAACAAUUGGAUGUGUCUAAGUAAAAAAAAGCGAAGAAAAUAUAAAAACAAAUAUUUUUUUUAAGGAAAGAAACGUAAACAUUUUAACCUGACUGACAGACUUUGGUUUUUAAAAGUAAAUGAAGAAAGCAUAAUAAAUAUAUAUACAUAUAUAAAUAAAGAAAAUAAAAACUAAUGAAUGCAAGGGCGCGUAGUUAAGCGCACAGAAGUGGAAAACGACUACGAAUUAUUAUAUUGAUCUUAUCCAGCAAACAAUGUCCUUUGCUUAAAAAUCAAAUCUCUGGACCGGAUUGCAUUCAUUCAUUCGUUCAUCUACCGGCAGCGAAAUCGAGGCUUUUCUACUGUCGUCCUUUCUACUCUAGCCACAACUGUAGCAACAGCAGCAACAUAAAACAUUUUUGCCAAGUCAUCGUUAACGUGCAAAGUGGUGUUGGGAUAUUGCCUCAAUGAAAUGAGAAGUGAUAUUUUAAAUGGAUGCUGGAUACGAU
rnacentral:misc_RNA from 1 species